AUAGAGGCUUGUUUUUCUUGGACGUUUUCUAGUUGCUGAGUGUGGUUUGGGAUUUUGUUUGUUGUUUACGACAGGACUUUCUGGAGGAACAGUGUCACUAGGUCAGAGAGUACAGAAUCACCAUGAAUCGGUGCCACGGUAGCAGCCUUGUCCACCCUGCGAGAAGAUUGGCUGGCGUGUUCUCUGAAGGCCCUUCUCUCAGGUCUUAGGGUUCCAGGAACCCAAAUCAGUGACAUUGCCUAAAAACCUUCUACAUGGAGUCUUCACAAUUGAUUCUACUCUUCAGCUGGAGGAGACUGACAUCUUGGCUACAGUACUUGGUUUGAAAAUGAGAAAACAAUUUGAGAAUACACGUAAUAGACAGGGAAAGGGAUAAGUCAUCAUCCCCAGGUAAGCAGCUAAUAUAUCUGUUCAAUAAUUCAGCUCAUAAACUACAUCUUGCCUGUUGCCACUAGGUGACAGUCUUUACUAAUAUUUUAUAU